UACGUAGGGUGCAAGCGUUAAUCGGAAUUACUGGGCGUAAAGCGCGCGUAGGCGGCUUUGCAAGUCGGGUGUGAAAUCCCCAGGCUUAACCUGGGAACUGCACUCGAGACUGCAUCGCUAGAGUAUGGGAGAGGGAAGUGGAAUUUCAGGUGUAGCGGUGAAAUGCGUAGAUAUCUGAAGGAACAUCAGUGGCGAAAGCGACUUCCUGGACCAAUACUGACGCUCAUGUGCGAAAGCGUGGGGAGCAAACAGG
rnacentral:rRNA from 1 species